rnacentral:rRNA from 1 species
UACAACGAGUUGCGAGUCGGUGACGGCGAGCUAAUCUCUUAAAGCCAAUCUCAGUUCGGAUUGUAGGCUGCAACUCGCCUACAUGAAGUCGGAAUCGCUAGUAAUCGCGGAUCAGCACGCCGCGGUGAAUACGGUUCCCGGGCCUU